CAAUGUCUUCCAUGAGGAAUAAACUGUAUUUGGUCUUGCUCUAUCAAGUGAAAGCUAGAACAAAGCAGGAUGAACCUUUCUGUACAAUGCCUUUCCAAGAAAAAGGUGGAUCUGUAGUGCACACUUGCCUCCAAAAUAUUUUCUGCUCUGGUUGUACUCUGAACACGAAGGUAUGCUUAGUUGUAGCUUGAUGUUAGCAUGUCCAGGUCCUAGGGUAGGUAUUAAAUCCAGUUAUUGCUAUUCAAAAGGAACUCCAAGUGUGAGCACAUUUUGAAAAAGGACUAUUAGCAAUGCAAAUGCCAAGUUAUACUUGAUAGUAAGCAAAAUGUUAAGCCUGUUUAUGUGAUAUUUAAGAUGAGAAAAUGCCUUUGCCUAUUUUUGAGUUUGAAUAGCCGUGGAACUGUUUGAUUCUAUUUGACACUCUAUCCUCACACUAGCUUUUGUAUAGCUUGUAAUUAUUCUUAGUAUUUGGACAGUCAAUAGUAAGUACUCUCUUGUAGUAGUGUUGCUUCAGAAAGUUUUCCUAACAAUUAGCUAUCUGUAGACUGGCUUUCUCACUAGAUUUAAGUCUAAUUUUCAAAAAUUGUAGUAUUGUAAUGUUCAUUCACUGUUUUUAGUACUUUAAAAUCUUGACAAACCUUAGGGUUUUUUGAGUUAUUACACCAGGGUGAUCCACCAUCUGAGUCAUUUCUGUGUGUCAAGUCAGGAGAUGGAGUGGAGGUACAGGAAAUGCUGAUCCAGCUAGAAUUGUCUGGCAUAUAACAGGUACUCAAGAAACAUUUGUUUAUUGGAAAAAUGUUGACUAGAGCCAAGGGAGAUUGUAUUCCUGUGCACUGACCAUUAAACUGAUUUCAGAGAUGACUUUUGCUCUUUGGUUUUUGUGCCAGCAAUUACCAACCUCUAGUCAAGAAUUGUUAUUGCAAACAUAAACUCAUUCAUGUGUUUGCAAACACUGUUCCUUAUAGUAUGUAAUAGACAUAUUUGUAGAAGGAAUCAUUCUAGGAUUUACUUUUAAGGAAUAAUAUUGUAAGACUCUUUUAAAGUUUAAAUCAUCUCUCAAUUUUUUUUUUCAUGUAUGGCCAUAUUGAAUUUACUUCAGGCAGGGUACAUCUGUCCUGGAUAAUGAGUUCAGAGUAACUAACAUGAUGCAUGUCAUGGUUUCAUCUGAAAGUAUGAAGAAAGGACCAUACACACCUCAGUGGUAAGCAGUUGUCUAUACAGCAGCACCCCUCGCUUAACUGUGGUUUCCCUGUCUGGUUUCAGUUAUCCACAGCCCAAAAAAUAUUAAAUGGAGAAUUCUAGAAACAAACAUUUCAUAUAUUUUGAAAAGCUUUCAUUAUAGUGUACAAUACUUUUCAUUAUAGUAUAUAAUUAUAUUUUUAUAAUUAUUCUGUUUUGUUUUCAAUAUUGUGUGUAAUUCAUAACGUUAAACUUUCUCAUAGAUAGGUAUAUAGAGGGAAAAAACAGCACAUAUAGAGUUUGGUGUUAUCUGUGGUGUCUGGCAUCCACUGGGGAUUUUGGAAUGUUUCCCCUACAGAUAAUGGGGGACUUAUUUUUUUUUUUGGGGGGUGUCUAGUCUGUAAUGUGAUUUCUUUGAUGUAGAAAACAUACAGGAUAUCAACUUUGUGAUAACCUUGAG
rnacentral:lncRNA from 1 species